CAAUAAAAAAUACCUUUUUUUUUUUUUUUGCUGUUGCCAAUAGCUGGAAUAGAUGCACCAAUUUAAUCUCCCUGUAGGCAUAUAGAAAACCACUAUCUCAGCAGAAUUGCCUCAUGCUCCACACCUGACUGGGUCCCUGGAUGCUGAUAGAAAUUAAUAGAGACUCUCUCGCCUCAUCUCUGAAGUUUCCUAUGGGUACUUCCAGCACUCCACAGGUUUCCAAGUCAGGAACAGAAGCCUGUACAGCUCGACCACUCAUUAUACGGAAAUUUUCAUCUGCAGAUGUCUUCAGCUCUAACCUUUAAGCAUCCAGUGUCCCAAAGAAAACAGUACAGGAGAUCUGUAGCUCCAACAUACCUGCUGACGUAGAAAUACAACUGUGGAGCUUCUUCCUAGAGUAACUGGCUGAAGGUUCUUGACAUCACAAGUAACUGACUCCUAAAAUAUUCUUAAUCAAAUAUUAAAUUCUAC
rnacentral:lncRNA from 1 species